CACGUAGGCGGAUUUGUAAGUUAGGGGUGAAAUCCCGGGGCUCAACCUCGGAACUGCCUUUGAUACUGCAAAUCUCGAGUCCGGAAGAGGUGAGUGGAAUUCCUAGUGUAGAGGUGAAAUUCGUAGAUAUUAGGAAGAACACCAGUGGCGAAGGCGGCUCACUGGUCCGGUACUGACGCUGAGGUGCGAAAGCGUGGGGAGGCAAAACA
rnacentral:rRNA from 1 species